rnacentral:rRNA from 1 species
AUUGAACGCUGGCGGCAUGCCUUACACAUGCAAGUCGAACGGCAGCGUGGGCUUUGGUCUGGCGGCGAGUGGCGAACGGGUGAGUAAUGCAUCGGAAUGUGCCCGGUCGUGGGGGAUAGCGUGCCGAAAGCCGGUUUAAUACCGCAUACGACCUGUGGGUGAAAGUGGGGGACCGAACGUCCUCGCGCUAUGGGAGUGGCCGAGGUCGGUUUAGCUAGUUGGUGGGGUAAAGGCUUACCAAGGAGACGAUCCGUAACUGGUCUGAGAGGACGACCAGCCACACUGGGACUGAGACACGGCCCAGACUCCUACGGGAGGCAGCAGUGGGGAAUUUUGGACAAUGGGGGCAACCCUGAUCCAGCCAUGCCGCGUGCGGGAAGAAGGCCUUCGGGUUGUAAACCGCUUUUGUUCGGGAGGAAGUCCUGUGGGCUAAUACCCCGGGGGGAUGACGGUACCGGAAGAAUAAGCACCGGCUAACUACGUG